rnacentral:rRNA from 1 species
UGUGAACUCGAAGAGUAGGGCGGGACACGUGGUAUCCUGUCUGAAUAUGGGGGGACCAUCCUCCAAGGCUAAAUACUCCUGACUGACCGAUAGUGAACCAGUACCGUGAGGGAAAGGCGAAAAGAACCCCGGCGAGGGGAGUGAAAAAGAACCUGAAACCGUGUACGUACAAGCAGUGGGAGCACCUUCGGGUGUGACUGCGUACCUUUUGUAUAAUGGGUCAGCGACUUAUAUUCUGUAGCAAGGUUAACCGUAUAGGGGAGCCGCAGGGAAACCGAGUCUUAACUGGGCGUUAAGUUGCAGGGUAUAGACCCGAAACCCGGUGAUCUAGCCAUGGGCAGGUUGAAGGUUGGGUAACACUAACUGGAGGACCGAACCGACUAAUGUUGAAAAAUUAGCGGAUGACUUGUGGCUGGGGGUGAAAGGCCAAUCAAACCGGGAGAUAGCUGGUUCUCCCCGAAAGCUAUUUAGGUAGCGCCUCGUGAAUUCAUCUUCGGGGGUAGAGCACUGUUUCGGCUAGGGGGUCAUCCCGACUUACCAACCCGAUGCAAACUACGAAUACCGAAGAAUGUUAUCACGGGAGACACACGGCGGGUGCUAACGUCCGUCGUGAAGAGGGAAACAACCCAGACCGCCAGCUAAGGUCCCAAAGUCAUGGUUAAGUGGGAAACGAUGUGGGAAGGCACAGACAGCCAGGAUGUUGGCUUAGAAGCAGCCAUCAUUUAAAGAAAGCGUAAUAGCUCACUGGUCGAGUCGGCCUGCGCGGAAGAUGUAACGGGGCUAAACCAUGCACCGAAGCUGCGGCAGCGACACUAUGUGUUGUUGGGUAGGGGAGCGUUCUGUAAGCCUGCGAAGGUGACCUGUGAGGGUUGCUGGAGGUAUCAGAAGUGCGAAUGCUGACAUAAGUAACGAUAAAGCGGGUGAAAAGCCCGCUCGCCGGAAGACCAAGGGUUCCUGUCCAACGUUAAUCGGGGCAGGGUGAGUCGACCCCUAAGGCGAGGCCGAAAGGCGUAGUCGAUGGGAAACAGGUUAAUAUUCCUGUACUUGGUGUUACUGCGAAGGGGGGACGGAGAAGGCUAUGUUAGCCGGGCGACGGUUGUCCCGGUUUAAGCAUGUAGGCUGGUUAUCCAGGCAAAUCCGGAUAAUCAAGGCUGAGGUGUGAUGACGAGGCACUACGGUGCUGAAGUAACAAAUGCCCUGCUUCCAGGAAAAGCCUCUAAGCAUCAGGUAACAUCAAAUCGUACCCCAAACCGACACAGGUGGUCAGGUAGAGAAUACCAAGGCGCUUGAGAGAACUCGGGUGAAGGAACUAGGCAAAAUGGUGCCGUAACUUCGGGAGAAGGCACGCUGGUGUGUAGGUGAAG